GAACCAUCUCUCCAACCUGUUAUAUGCUUUUUUUGAUGACAUCAUCUCCCCAGUCCUAAAAAUUUCCCAGCGUUGUUGGGAAUGGUUCAUGGUGCCCAGGUGCUGGCUCCCUCACCAGCUGUUUGUAUAUUGACUAUGAGCUGCAAGCCCAGAGUCUGAAAAUUCUGGGGAGGAAAACCUGUUCUUUAUGGAACAUACUUCUGAGGAUUCACGUCAGAGCCAGCAAGGGUUUGACUGACAUCAAACAGAUCCAGAAAGUUCCUAGAAGGUACCAAAGCUGUAGCGGAGUAGGCAGAGCCGCACUAUGUCUGUCUGUCCCACAAUGCCAAAGGAAACUGCUUUUCUCCCAGUAUUCCUUUGGAGGUCUUGGCAGGUGGUGCUUACCAUCUCUCAUGACAGAAAAUGGGGUGAGGGACAGGGGGUGUGUGUGGCUCAUUUGGUAAAACACCUGCCGUGCGACCAUGAGGACCUGAGUUCAGAUUCUGCACACCUACCUAAGAGGGAAGGCUCUGAUUCUGGCACUGGAGGAAGAGCUGAGGCAGGAGGAUCUCUGGAGGUAGCUGACCCACUAGUCGAACCAGGUGGUGUGCUCCAGGUGCAGGGGAGACUCAGUCUCAAAAACUAGGUGGAGGGGCUGGAGAGGUGGCUCGGCAGUGAAGAGGACUUGUUGCUCUUCCAGAGGAUCUGAGUUCAGUUUCCAGUACCCAUGUCAGGCAGCUCACAACAGCAUAUAACUCUGUUUCAGGGGAUUAACCAUCUUCUAGACUCUGCUGGUAAACACACACACACACAUAAAUAAAAAUUUAAAAACGGAAGCAUCUUUGGCCUCCUCCAAUACACUCCCCCCAUACACAUAGGCACAUAUCCACAUGAGCAUAUACAUUGUACAUACAUGGAAAGAAGGAAGCAUAGAAGGAAGGAGGAAAGGGGUAUAGCUUGCUUAAGGUUACAUAACCCUAGUAAUGGGGGUUCUUGAAGCCAAUUUUGUAUCUCCUGGCUACCAGGCAACCUGUCUCUCCUCUCUUUCUUUUUCUCCAUCCUGGCAUUUACUAGACGAUUCUACAGACCCAACUCAGAUUCUCCAGAUCAAUCGAAGCCCCAGGCCUGCAGGAUGAAAGCAAGGUUAGAGCCCAGAGCAGCCACGUUGCAUCUGCUGGAAUGUGCUGGAUAUGAGAGAUUCUGCUCCAACUGGAGAAAUCACAGCACGGUUGGAAUGGAAAUGCACAGUCAUCCAAACAGCGAGUAUUGGGCCACACCCUGCUCCCGCCUCAGCCCACAGGCAGGGCACACUGUGUACUGAACCUUCUAGCCAAGGGCUGUGCUUGCCAAGUUGAGGCAAGGGUUGCUGUCCCAGGAACUUACGCCAUCUCUUGGGUAGAUCCCAAGGUUGUCAAGGGGAAUAAUGUACGGGUGGGCAUAGUGGGGCUCAGAGUAGAAGACAGGCCAGACUAUCAGGAAUCUAAUGCCCUGAGCAAGGUGUGGGCAAGCCACCUGGCUUUUUAUUGAUCCAUCGAGUAAUUUAUUCUCACAUAUCCCCUCAACGGCAGUCCUGGCUCUAGGUUCAGUGCUGAAUCAAGCUUACCCUCAUGAGGCUCCCAGCUGGCUGUGGGGCCCAUCUGCAUCAACUUGCCUACUGGAUGGUUCUGGAUGGGGCCAUUCAUCUGUAGUGUCAGUGACUGGUAAUGUAUGUUGGGUCUGUCACCACCUUCUCUUCCAUAACUCUCCAUUUCUCUUGGAAUUUUUGAGAAGCCUUGGGAAAUGUGAAGGUCCUUGGGAAAUGGCUCAGCAGUUAAGAGUACUUGUUGUUCACACCAAGGACCCAGGUUUGAUUCUCAGCAUCCAUGGGACAGUUCACUGCUGCCUCUAACUCCAGUUUCAAAGGACGGAUGCCCUCUUGUGGCCUCUAUGUGUCUGCAGUACCCAUUGCAGACACAUGAUGCACAGACAGACAUGCAGGGUCUUUCUACGUAGCUCAUGCACCACCGCCUCCAGCUGAAUCUUAAUUUCUAUCGGAAAGUGCAAGCCCUUUGUGUGUCGGCGAGACAAACCGCUUGGGCUCAUGUUCGGAGCCCCUGCUGUACCAGGAUUCGGGAAGGGGGAGGCUGUUACCAGGUUGAACUUCUUUCUUUUUGGAAAAUGGAUAUGAGAAACUGCUUCAUCUGACAUCAAACCCUGCCCUGUUGGGAUUCAGCAGCAGGCAGAGACGCGGCGAGGUAGAGGAGGACACGGGAAGCACAGGGUGACAGUGGCCAUUCGCGUCUUGCUCCUAUCAAACAUAACUUUUCCUUCAGCGGGGCAACAGCCUUCUUGGUGAACCUUACCAGUUGGUGUCUGGACUGGCUCAAGUGCGCUCCAGGAAUCUGUCUCUGUACCUCACUUUUUGGGGGGGACAGGGUCUCACUACGUAGCCCUGGGUAGCCUGGAGCUCACUGAGAGCCUCCUGCCUCUGUUUCCGAGUACUGGGGUUAAAGGAGGAUCUGAGGCCUGAAGCUCUGUUCUGCCUGCUGCUAGCUAAGGUCCACCAACUCUCCCUGCAUUUCUUGACUUGCAGGAGCAUCUCUUCAUUUCCAACAUCAUGAUGUGUGUAAAUCCAAAGAGGCACCUGAACAGGACAAAUUCACUCAGGAAAAAUUACCUGUUCUAGAGACUUCAGAAACAGUGUAAGACCUGCCUAAAAAGUAGACAGUGAAUGUUCCUUGGGAUCACUGUUUACUCUCACGCCUUAGGAGUAUGCUCUGCUCCACUUGACAAUAAAUACUUCAUUCAGCAAUGUGUCUUGUCUCUUUUCACAGAGCUCUCAAGAAUGAAGAAGCAAAGAGGACUCCAAACCAAGGACCCAGGGCAGGAGCAUCCCUAAAGGAAGAUGCUGAAUGACAAGUUUACUGCUUACUCUGAUAGGGAAGAGCAUAGAGAAUCUGGUCAGUUUCAGGGACUUCCUGAAGCUAUUUGUUUACCUUCCUGUUUAAGGAGAUUCCUGAAGCUAUUUUGAAUUGCUUAUGGCUUAAGGAGAUUCCUGCAGGAUGGGGUGUUUUCGGAAAGUUACACAACAGGAGGUCUGCGAGGUGGUUACAUUCUAGAAGCUGUGGUCAUGAUGGCUAGUCUGGGCAUGGUGAGUAAAAAUUACUGAAAAGACCUGCACCUUCUGCUACACUGAUUUACUGAUUGGAACUUUGGUGAUACAGAGAGGUUGGAAUGUUGCAGACCAGAGCUAGGUUAUUUUGUGGCAUCUUUAUGCCCUUGAACAACAACUGCCUGCCCUGUCUCUAUCUGGCCUAACAUCUUUGUAACCAUCCCUUAAGUCACUUAGGACGCCUGAACAGACCCAUAGUUUCCAGCCAGCCAAAAGGCCGAUUGCCCUCAGACUAGCAUUUUAGGCCUGCAGCUGAGAUUUUUUUUUCCUCCCUCCUUUGCUGUAGCCUGUUUACCUGGAAGGAUUUAUACUUGAAAAGCGCCUUGAUUUAUGACUUUGUUCUGUUGCUAUAAAACCUUCAUCAAGAGGCUGGAGAGAUGGCUCAACAGUUAGGAGUAUUUACUGCCCAGACAGAGGACCAGGGCACAGUUCCCAGCAUGUACAUGGUGGCUUACAAUUUUCUGGAACUCUAAUUCUAGGGGCUCUGACCCUUCUCCGUUUCUGGGCUCUGAGGGCACCAGACACACAAGUGGUGCACAGAUACACAUGCAGGCAUACAUGCGUAAAUCUUAAAAACAAAACAAAAACGAAGCAACACAACUUUGUCAAGCUGUUACCAUAUUGGAACAUGGAAUAACUUACACCUGUGUUAUAGGGCUAAGGCCACUCAUUAUCCCUGAUCCCCUCCUGCCCCUUUGAGGUGAGAGUUGUGUUUUUGUUUUUUGUUUGUUUGUUUGUUUGUUUGCGCAGCCGCUGCGCUGCACUCAGCAAUGCUCACACCGACUCCGUGAGGCCGGUAUUUGUAGAUUUUAAUUCCAUGUUUUUUAGGCUUUGGAGAGAUGAAGUUUCAAUGCGGCCUCAAUUACUAUUUCUUUCAAAGUUCCCUGAUCUGGUGAACUCAGCCCCACCCGGAGAAAACUCAGCCCGGAUCAGCAUCCCGAAGGUGUAGCUACAAGCGCGCGCCCCUAGCGCUCUGGUCAGGGUUGAGUCUACACAAAGCGGUUCCUCCCUAGGUUCCCGAGCGCGCAGGAGGAACUGCGCGG